CCGGGAACUUUACCCAGCAAGAUGAGUUGGAUCAAAUUGUAUCUGUCGUGCCUGAGCACGUGGCCGAGCGCUUAAUGAGGAAACAAGAAGAAUGUUUAUCUGCUGAGAGGGAUAUAGAAUGGAUUAUAUCGUGCUACAAGUGAGCUAGUCAACUAACCCUCGUUAGACCAGGUUGACAAUGGUCUAGUUAACCCUGACUUAAGUAUUUACCCUAUACGCAGCAUACAGUGGGCAGUCGAUAAUUACGUGCAGCAUGGACUCACCCUGUUCCGGAUCUCAGAUUUACAAGGGGCACGUCUUACAUUACA